rnacentral:rRNA from 1 species
UCCGUAGGUGGAUCAAUCAGUCAGAGGUGAAAUCCUGCAGCUUAACUGUAGAACUGCCUUUGAUACUGUUGAUCUUGAGUCAUUAUGAAGUGGUUAGAAUGUGUAGUGUAGCGGUGAAACGCAUAGAUAUUACACAGAAUACCGAUUGCGAAGGCAGAUCACUAAUAAUGUACUGACACUGAGGGACGAAAGCGUGGGGAGCGAACAGGAUUAGAUACCCUGGUAGUCC